CACCUUGCGCAAACACCAUCAUCGGCUCAUCGCACCCACGGUUAGUUAGCUCUCGACCUGAGCUAGCCUACGGUACGAUGGGGAAGUUUGACGAUGGUCUCUUAGGGAACGUUUGGAUCUCAGGCAAGCGCUCGCCUAGCCUGGCCCAGCAAGGAAGCGAAGCAUUUGGUUUCUGGGCGAGCACGCCUCGUUACCAGCGGUUUUCAGCUUUUUUCGCGUUUCAUCGAGCGAGCCGAUUCGGCUCGCCUCCGUCGGCAAGGCUGGCCCUGCCUAGCGAGGCAAUCAGGCGAGGCAUCCAAACGUUCCCUUAGGGACUAAGGGUGACGAGGGGUGGGUCGCCUGGACUUCGGGGUUGUUGAGAGGCGCGGUAGCCUGGGUAAAGCCCGCAGCCAAGGCUCGUAAUCCGCACAACGAAGUCCACCGGCCGGAUCGACAGCGGGUGGAGCCCACCGCUCAGGCGAAGACAGACAAGAAAAGGGAGGACACUACCAACACUGCUGGCUGCUCCUGCACACGCUGCUCGUACUGUAAGAAGAAAGAUCCAACAAGUCGUCAACAGCAGCAGCCCAAGCCCAGCCCUGCUCAGCAGCAGAAACCCGCAAAAAAAGGUUAGCUCUUGCUCCGGCCUCUAUGUUUUCUUUGAGAAUUUCUCCGCGGGUUCCAUUUCUUCAGGUUUACCUUGCGCAGAGUAACUUUCUAUCCUUUCAUGCUGCGUGGAAAGGGUGAACAGUGAAAACGGUGGCGUGAAUCAGGUUGUCAAUUUUAUGCUUCGCCGAUCGUAAGCAACAACACAGGAAAUUUCCUACCGCAGCUUUUUGAUUGGCCCGUAGGCCACGGUGUAAUGGUUUUACCAACGAAAUGUAAUAAAGAAAUAAACAGUAUGUGUGUCCUCACUUUGUUGUUCAAUUCUUCUCCAUUUUUUCGUUCCUUCUGAACACCAGUUCUUGUUGUUCUUGUUCACUGUCAUCAACUCGCUAAUAGCAUUGCAAGUUUGCAACC